rnacentral:rRNA from 1 species
GACGAACGCUGGCGGCGUGCCUAAUACAUGCAAGUAGAACGCAGUUUCGAACGGGUGAGUAACGCGUAGGUAACUGCCUCAUAGGGGGGGAUAACUAAUGGAAACGAUAGCCAAUACCGCAUACUGUGAGAUGGACCUGCGUUGUAUUAGCCAGUUGGUUGGGUAAAGGCUCACCAAGGCGACGAUACAUAGCCGACCUUAGAGGGUGGACGGCCAAACUGGGACUGGGAAAACGGCCAGAAUCCUACGGGAGGCAGCAGUAGGGAAUCUUUGGCAAUGGACGGAAGUCUGACCGAGCAACUCCGCGUGAGUUAAGAAGGUUUUCGGAGCGUAAAGCUCUGUUGUUAGAGAAGCGGUAACUAAACAGAAAGGGACGGCUAACUACGUGCCAGCAGCCGCGGUAAUAC